rnacentral:rRNA from 1 species
AACGAACGCUGGCGGCAGGCUUAACACAUGCAAGUCGAACGCCCCGCAAGGGGAGUGGCCGACGGGUGAGUACCGCGUGGGAACAUACCCUUUUCUACGGAAUAGCUCUGGGAAACUGGAAUUAAUACCGUAUACGCCCUACGGGGGAAAGAUUUAUCGGGGAAGGAUUGGCCCGCGUUGGAUUAGCUUGUUGGUGGGGUAAAGGCCUACCAAGGCGACGAUCCAUAGCUGGUCUGAGAGGAUGAUCAGCCACAUUGUGACUGAGACACGGCCCAAACUCCUACGGGAGGCAGCAGUGGGGAAUAUUGGACAAUGGGCGCAAGCCUGAUCCAGCCAUGCCGCGUGAGUGAUGAAGGCCUUAGGGUUGUAAAGCUCUUUAACCGAUGAAGAUAAUGACGGUAGUCGGAGAAGAAGCCCCGGCUAACUUCGUG